AGCAGCCGCGGUAAUUCCAGCUCCAAUAGCGUAUAUUAAAGUUGUUGCAGUUAAAAAGCUCGUAGUUGAAUUUCGGGAUCAAGUCGUCGGUCGUGCCUCGGUACGCACUGGUGACAUUGGUUUCUCCCUUCUGAAGAACCUUGAUGUCAUUAAUUUGGUGUCUUGGGGAAUCAGGACUGUUACUUUGAAAAAAUUAGAGUGUUUAAAGCAGGCUCACGCUUGAAUACAUUAGCAUGGAAUAAUGAAAUAGGACGUUUGAUUCUAUUUUGUUGGUUUCUAGGAUCGACGUAAUGAUUAAUAGGGAUAGUUGGGGGCAUUAGUAUUCAAUUGUCAGAGGUGAAAUUCUUGGAUUUAUUGAAGACUAACUACUGCGAAAGCAUUUGCCAAGGAUGUUUUCAUUAAUCAAGAACGAAAGUUAGGGGAUCGAAGAUGAUCAGAUACCGUCGUAGU
rnacentral:rRNA from 1 species